rnacentral:tRNA from 1 species
GGCCCGUUGGUGUAAUCGGUAACAUUCCCGGCGGUGGAAAUUCCCCGUCUGCAUACGUGCCGCAGGAAGACAUCGGUUCGAGUCCGAUACGGGCCA